CCGAAUUCCUCAAGGUCGCGGAGCAAGUUGGUAUUGAUAAAGGUGACAUUCCCGACCUCACACAGGCUCCCAGCAGUCUUAUGGAGACCCUUGAACAACAUCUAAAUACCUUAGAAGGAAAGAAACCUGGAAACAAGUACGGAUCUGGUGCUCCCUCUCCAUUAAGUAAGUCUUCUCCAGCCACAACUGUUACAUCUCCUAAUUCUACACCAGCUAAAACUAUCGACACGUCCCCACCAGUCGACAUCUUUGCAACAGCAUCCGCGGCUGCCCCAGUCAGCUCUGCUAAGCCAUCAAGCGAUCUCCUUGAUCUUCAGCCAGACUUCUCCGGAGCAGCUGCGGGGGCAGCAGCGCCUGUACCACCACCUACUGGGGGAGCCACUGCGUGGGGAG
rnacentral:lncRNA from 1 species